AUUGAACGCUGGCGGCAUGCUUUACACAUGCGAGUCGAACGGCAGCGCGGGCCUCGGCCUGGCGGCGAGUGGCGAACGGGUGAGUAAUGCAUCGGAACGUGCCCAGUAGUGGGGGAUAGCCCGGCGAAAGCCGGAUUAAUACCGCAUACGACCUGAGGGUGAAAGCGGGGGACCGAAAGGCCUCGCGCUAUUGGAGCGGCCGAUGUCGGAUUAGCUAGUUGGUGGGGUAAAGGCUUACCAAGGCGACGAUCCGUAGCUGGUCUGAGAGGACGACCAGCCACACUGGGACUGAGACACGGCCCAGACUCCUACGGGAGGCAGCAGUGGGGAAUUUUGGACAAUGGGGGCAACCCUGAUCCAGCCACGCCGCGUGCGGGAAGAAGGCCUUCGGGUUGUAAACCGCUUUUGUUCGGGAAGAAAUCCUCUGGGCUAAUACCCCGGGGGGAUGACGGUACCGGAAGAAUAAGCACCGGCUAACUACGUG
rnacentral:rRNA from 1 species